rnacentral:tRNA from 1 species
GGACAAGUAGCUUACAAACCUAAAACAUAGUACUGAAAAAUGUUAAAAUGGCACCUGCCCUUUCCA